GAUAGCUGAUUUAUAAGCUCUGAAAAAACAAACACACUGCACCGGUGCAAGUGCGCACAUUGCAGACUGAGCUGAGCUGAAAGCUGAAAAAGCUCGCUGAAAUCAGCUCAGCUUAGUUUGAUCGAUCAAGCAUGUUUGUUUUUUCAGCAAGCUGAUUGCUGAUUUUGUUCAAGUGUAUUGGUUCAUAAGUGAUCGAAAAUGGGCUGCAAAACAUUGUUAAGCGAAAUUACGGUUAACCCAGAGCUGGGGAAUAAGCGGGAUUAUUAAAAAUAUUUGAAUCAUAGUUUUAUUUCUGGCAGGAGAUAAAUUGGGCAAAAAAGUUGUAUUAUUUACCAUUUUCAUAUGUCAAUAAUAAAUAUAAUAUACUAUGUCCCCAAGUACAGUAAACGCUAGGAAAACAUCACAAUGUUUAUUAUUAUACAACAUAAUGAAUAAUUGAGAAAUUUAAUAAUAACUCGUAAAAUAAAAGUAAUACGAAUACAAUACAUAACGGAAAUGUGGUUGAAAUACACGGAAUAAAAAAAAACGAAGAAAACUUCCGUCUGGCUACUGAGACAAAGGGAGGAAAUGGCUUUCAGCUUUCAGCAAUCAGAUCAGCCGACAAUGUACGCACCUGCAAGCUGAUUCUGCCUGGAAAAAGCUCUCAGAUCAAGUGAGCUUUCAGCUCCAAUUUCAGCGCCGAUUUCAGCUCCGCUUUCAGCUAUAGUGUGCGCGAGCCCUU